rnacentral:rRNA from 1 species
GAUGAACGCUGGCGGCGUGCCUAAUACAUGCAAGUCGAGCGAAUGGAUUAAGAGCUUGCUCUUAUGAAGUUAGCGGCGGACGGGUGAGUAACACGUGGGUAACCUGCCCAUAAGACUGGGAUAACUCCGGGAAACCGGGGCUAAUACCGGAUAACAUUUUGAACCGCAUGGUUCGAAAUUGAAAGGCGGCUUCGGCUGUCACUUAUGGAUGGACCCGCGUCGCAUUAGCUGGUUGGUGAGGUAACGGCUCACCAAGGCAACGAUGCGUAGCCGACCUGGUAGGGGGAUCGGCCACACUGAGACUGGAACACGGCCCAGACUCCAACGGGAGGCAGCAGUAGGGAAUCUUCCGCAAUGGACGAAAGUCUGACGGAGCAACGCCGCGUGAGUGAUGAAGGCUUUCGUGUCGUAAAACUCUGUUGUUAGUGAAGAACAAGUGCUAGUUGAAUAAGCUGGCACCUUGACGGUACCUAACCAGAAAGCCACGGCUAACUACGUGCCAGCCGCCGCAGUAA